rnacentral:tRNA from 1 species
GCCUGGCUGGCUCAGUGGUAGAGCACGUGACUCGAUCUCGGGGUUGUGAGUUUGAGCCCCAUGUUGGGUA